AUGAAGGCCUUGGUGCUCACCAUGGCUGAGGCAGACUUGCGGCUCGGUCCUCUCCUUGAAGCCGGCGCACACGGCCUUGAGCACCGCCGUCCUCUCCAGCUUCCCUGCACGCACAAAACACAAUCAUGUCAGUUCCUUCGUCGCCGGAGAAAUCAAAGAGACGGACGGUACAGCGACAGCCGGCCAGCCAGCCAUACCUCUGUACUGGACGUCGUUGAUGACGAGCGUGGGCAGGAUGGUGACGUCCCCGCGCGACCCGCGCCCGAUCUGGUCCUCUUGCUCCUUGGACAGCACGGCGUUGUCGGCGUCGGCGUCUGGGUCGCCCAUGCACGCCAGCACCUUGUCGAGCGACAGCCCCAGCGCGGUGACCACCUCCUCGGCGCACGCCUUGCUGUACUUCUUCUCCUUCAUGGAGCAGCGGAGCUUGUAGUCCAUGGCGAAGUCCCACCACGCCCACGGCCGCCCGCUCUCGUUGGCCACCCGGUGCACGCACAGCUGCCGCAGGUUCUCCACCACCACCUGCUUCCCCUCGUACCCCUCCCCGAAGUCCUCCUCCGGGUCCGGCGCGCAGUACCUGCACACCCAGUAACCAACCACAUUGUUCCUUGCCAUGCCAUGACAGGUACCAGAGGAAGCUUCCUAGACCGGCAAUGGCGGGCGUACAUACCUGCCAUGGUUGAUGCACUGCGACUGGCACUGGCGCGUGAGCCGGAACGCCUCGGGGCAGUACCAGGUGAUGUAGUGCGGGGUGAAGCGCGCGUAGCCGCCGCGCUCCAGGAUCUGGGCGUGGCCGCGGAAGCUCUUGACGAAGGCCGCCUGCUCGUCGCACCGGGGGCCGCACUCGUCGUUGCUGUUGGUCCAGAGCUCGUACUCCACGCGCUCGUCCGGGUGUGGCAUCGACUCGCGCCAGUCCAGCUUCACCACCACCUCCCCCUCCGCGUCGGCCUUCUCCGCCAUCCGCUUCAGCGACUCCCCGAAGGCGCGGUUCACCAGCGCCGACGGGAUGUUGAGCUUGUCGAGGUACCGAGUGUCCGGGGAUGCCUCCGGCGUGUCCAUGGUCAGCAGCUGCUCGUCCACCGUGUCCGCGAUCAGCACCGCCGCCGCGCCUGCCUGCUGCGCGUUCCACGACUUGAGCGCGAAGUAGCACUCUGUUGGGACAGUACAAACGUCGUUACGCCGUCAGUUUUACAGCUACAGUUUUGUACCUGA
rnacentral:rRNA from 1 species